AGAGUUUGAUCAUGGCUCAGAUUGAACGCUGGCGGCAGGCCUAACACAUGCAAGUCGAACGGUAACAGGAAGCAGCUUGCUGCUUCGCUGACGAGUGGCGGACGGGUGAGUAAUGUCUGGGAAACUGCCUGAUGGAGGGGGAUAACUACUGGAAACGGUAGCUAAUACCGCAUAAUGUCGCAAGACCAAAGAGGGGGACCUUCGGGCCUCUUGCCAUCGGAUGUGCCCAGAUGGGAUUAGCUUGUUGGUGGGGUAACGGCUCACCAAGGCGACGAUCCCUAGCUGGUCUGAGAGGAUGACCAGCCACACUGGAACUGAGACACGGUCCAGACUCCUACGGGAGGCAGCAGUGGGGAAUAUUGCACAAUGGGCGCAAGCCUGAUGCAGCCAUGCCGCGUGUAUGAAGAAGGCCUUCGGGUUGUAAAGUACUUUCAGCGGGGAGGAAGGGAGUAAAGUUAAUACCUUUGCUCAUUGACGUUACCCGCAGAAGAAGCACCGGCUAACUCCGUGCCAGCAGCCGCGGUAAUACGGAGGGUGCAAGCGUUAAUCGGAAUUACUGGGCGUAAAGCGCACGCAGGCGGUUUGUUAAGUCAGAUGUGAAAUCCCCGGGCUCAACCUGGGAACUGCAUCUGAUACUGGCAAGCUUGAGUCUCGUAGAGGGGGGUAGAAUUCCAGGUGUAGCGGUGAAAUGCGUAGAGAUCUGGAGGAAUACCGGUGGCGAAGGCGGCCCCCUGGACGAAGACUGACGCUCAGGUGCGAAAGCGUGGGGAGCAAACAGGAUUAGAUACCCUGGUAGUCCACGCCGUAAACGAUGUCGACUUGGAGGUUGUGCCCUUGAGGCGUGGCUUCCGGAGCUAACGCGUUAAGUCGACCGCCUGGGGAGUACGGCCGCAAGGUUAAAACUCAAAUGAAUUGACGGGGGCCCGCACAAGCGGUGGAGCAUGUGGUUUAAUUCGAUGCAACGCGAAGAACCUUACCUGGUCUUGAUAUCCACGGAAGUUUUCAGAGAUGAGAAUGUGCCUUCGGGAACCGUGAGACAGGUGCUGCAUGGCUGUCGUCAGCUCGUGUUGUGAAAUGUUGGGUUAAGUCCCGCAACGAGCGCAACCCUUAUCCUUUGUUGCCAGCGGUCCGGCCGGGAACUCAAAGGAGACUGCCAGUGAUAAACUGGAGGAAGGUGGGGAUGACGUCAAGUCAUCAUGGCCCUUACGACCAGGGCUACACACGUGCUACAAUGGCGCAUACAAAGAGAAGCGACCUCGCGAGAGCAAGCGGACCUCAUAAAGUGCGUCGUAGUCCGGAUUGGAGUCUGCAACUCGACUCCAUGAAGUCGGAAUCGCUAGUAAUCGUGGAUCAGAAUGCCACGGUGAAUACGUUCCCGGGCCUUGUACACACCGCCCGUCACACCAUGGGAGUGGGUUGCAAAAGAAGUAGGUAGCUUAACCUUCGGGAGGGCGCUUACCACUUUGUGAUUCAUGACUGGGGUGAAGUCGUAACAAGGUAACCGUAGGGGAACCUGCGGUUGGAUCACCU
rnacentral:rRNA from 1 species